CACAUUUUCAAAAGCAUCUUUAUCCAAUUACAUCCAAUUCUCCACCAUUUAUGUAAGAACCGUUGGUGUUCUUUUUUAAUGCUACCGAAACCCUUGAACGUCAGGUCGAGGGUCAGAGGAGGGGAGCUCUACUCCCGGGGGCUGGCACACCCUCCGCGGACGCUGUCCUGGGUGCUCGCUCUGGCCUUCCUGCCACCAGACCCCCCCCCCCAAGCCCACCUUCUCGGAUGAGGGUCUCCCGCUGGCCUCUGCCGCCUGCCUCCAGGGUCCAGGGGCUGUGCCCCCUCCCAGAGCAGGCCUGGCCCCAAGUCCUGCUCCAGUCAGCCUCUGCAGAACGAAAGGGUAGGGGUCACGGCCUGACCGGCUGUCCAGCCCUUCAACUUGUCAGGGCCUCGGGACAGACCAGGCUGAAGGACCGGCCCAGGGGGUGGAGUCAGAUGCCGGGAACAGAGUCAGACCCCGGGAGCGGAGCCAGACCCCCGCGGACAGGGACACUUCGUGGGUGUCGGAGAGAGGGCAGGGCUGUGCAGAGACGCAGGAGGUCUGGCAGCGGUGGGGAACUGGACUUAGUCCACACCAGCUCACGGUGGCUCAUACCGGGGGACAGUUCAUGGUUCACUGACGACAGCGGGGAUUACGUCGAUUCUACCGACACCCUCGGGCUGUGCUUCGGAAAGCACUGCCACCCUCACCGGCCCCACCGUGGCACCGCCUCCCGCGGGAAGCCCUCCCUGAGCUCCCGCUGUCAGGACACCCGCUCACAAGACCCCAUGAGAUCAAGACCACGUGAUUCUCCAGCUACUUGAGAAGCGUCUUUCAACAAAAGGUGAACGGAGAAACGCUCAUGACAGCCCGGGAACCCGACGUGUAUAAUGUCGGCGUGGCCACGGUGAGCCCCGUGUGCUUGCUUAUUAAGACGUACGCUGAGGAGGUAAUUGUCUGCCCCACAGUUGCAAAUGACCAUCUCUCUUUCAGUUAUCGCCAUAUAGGAAAAUGGAAAUGCAGCACGUGAUUUAGUGAAUAGAACUUCAUAGGGCUUUCCUUUUACUUAAUUGCCUGUUUUCCUUGAGCAGAUCUACUAUCCUGAUGUUUUUGACCCCCUUCCUUUCGGACCCCUUGCAGGGUAAUGAGCAACGAAUGAGUGGCUUUCUCGGGGAGGACGGUGCUUCCCACCGUCGGCAGCUCGCGGACUGACGUGCUGUGAGGAACACGCCUCUAUCCUGCCGCUCCCGUGGGUCGGGCUCGACGAGGAGGCGGUGAGGGACGGGGGGAGGUCUUCUGUCCUUGGGAAGCAAUAACCCCUCUUCCCAAAGCGCUCUAGGAAGUUCUCUCCCAGUGCGCUCCAGAGAUCACUAUCCCUUGCUAUGCACUCUGGGGCCAGCUCCCUCCUCCGCAGACGUGCGGGGCCACGGCUCUGCUCUGGAGAAAGUUAAGCACUUUCAAAGCCUCUGAGUUUCUGCUCCAAAGGCUGAUUACAAAAAGAACCCGCACUCUCUGUAUUUCUUGCUCCCCAGUCCGUAGUCCAGAGAGGUUUCCUCUUGUGCUAACUGGAAGCUGCCCUUUCACAGCCCCUCUCUCUGCUGGUCCCUUUUGUCUCUACACAGAAGGGGUUCCCUCCACUCCGUGGCUGUGCCAGCUUAUCUCCCCAAAUCACAUACACGUGCCUCAAUCCUGCCAGGCUGUCUCCUUCCAACUGUGGAGAUCAUUCUGCCGAUCCACCGAUCGAUUUCCUGGGUGUUCUAAGUAAUCUGACCUCAAUACAGCCGCGUUUGAGAGGAGGAACAUCCCGGUCCCCCUACUUCUCCGCCUUCUUAACUCCUCUCAAAAAGAUGUCAAUUAAGUGAGGCGAACGACCAGGUUUCUUAGUUUAUUUUAGUGAUGCCGCCACAGAGGUGUCCUGACUAGUCAACAGUGAAUUGCUGUGGUGACUGCCAGACUGUGGACGGGCUAAGGUCCAAUGAAUCUGCAACUGUGAAGAAAUGAGAAGCAUGUGUGCAUAUGUGCAUGCACUCGUGUGAGUGUGUGUGUGUGUGUGUGUGUGUGUGUGAUGUGCACAGAAGGGAUGUGCGUGUGUGCACGUGUGGGGGGGGUGUGUGCGGAUGGGUGUUGCUGGGUGUGCGUGUGCGUGUGUGGAUGGGAUGAGCAGACAAAGACAGAUGAGAUGGAUGGACAGACAAACAGCUGUCCCCCAGCGGUCCCGGACACUCCCUCUCUGUGGCCCCCUGACCUGCUUUGGCCAACCAUGUGUGAACGGCGGCCACACGUCCUUCCGGGCACACUGGGAAGCCCCACCUGCCACUCAGCUCCGUCGGCCUCGGCCGCGAGGGAGACUGUGGGCAGCGCAACCCCGGAAGCCUCUGAGAUUUGGGGAGUUUUGUUCACCGUAUUCUAGUCCGCAUUUACACGCUCAUUAUGGGAAGAAUCUUCAUCUCACUUCCGAUCUCAGACCCGGCGGUGCUGACCGUUCGCCGUGGAGUCAGACUGCCGAGGCUGAGGUCGCUCUGCCGCCUAGCUGAGCAACCCUGGGGGCGUCUCCAGCUCUCCGUGCCUCAGUUUCCAUGCCUAUAAAGUGGGGACGAAGCCAGCACCACCCCAGGGGUCAUGCGGGAUGAGAUAAGUAGCAGGUGCGGUGCCCGUGGGGAGACAAGUGCGGAGCGUGGGGACACCACGUGACGUGUGGAAGUGACGGUGGCCUUGUACUCAGCGGGGGCUCCCGCUCGCCCGAGCUGCCCUGGUCAAACCGCGCUGGGUGUCAGCACCAGCAGCACGGGAGCUGCGUGGCUUCUGUACUGUGUGCGUUUUCCCACCACACCCGUUGAGGGUUCUAAGACCCGUUGUCCAGAGCGUUGGGGUCAGAUUUUAAAGAAGUCAAAGCGACAAGCUUUAUGACACAAGCCUACCCCAGGGCCUCCGAUGCCACGACAUGCCUACACACUGCGUGCUGUGCACCAGAAUCACCCGCGCCCAACUCCGGGGCCGCGGCUGAGCCGGGGGACAGAGACUGGCCUGGAGACGCCCCAGUCCCAAGAUUCGGCCCGUGGGAUGCGGUCGGGCAGCGUAGGAUCAGGGCACGGAGAGCCGGCGGGGGGAAGGGCGCCCGGGGUCUGGGCCAGGGCUCCUGUGAGUCAUUUCCGGUCAGGGUAGAGCCACCGUCCCGGGGUCCCUGAGGGACAGCCUGCGGGCCUUCGUUUUCUGUUUAAUGGGCCAUUUGUAUGAAUGUGUGCACAGGAGCGUCGUCAAAAUUCCUGAGUUUUCUGGGAUAAACUCAGCCCCCAAGGCCUGAGGGAGACGUGUGGGCAACCCUGUGCCCAGGGCACCCAGAUGCCCAGACGCCCACAGCUCUCUGCCAUCUGACCCCAACCUGACCCUGACGCCCACUGCUCUGUGGGCCCGUGUGGCUGUUAACGGCCCCUGUGGCUUUUCCAGGCCUUCUCUGUCCCACCGUGUGAGAGCCCAGCUGAGCCCUGCCCGGCUGGAAGUUAUCUGCCUUUAAGUGUCGGUAAAAAGAAUACCAAGCACGACACCUCCAGGGCCGUAAGGACUGGAAAUUCAGUUCCAGUUUGUUGUUGCCAAGACAUUGGAUGGAUGCCACCCCGGCCCACGGCCCGCGUCCAGGGUUUUCUUUGCUGCCUGGCUCGCCCAGUGCCCAGCUCGGCCAGGCCAUGCUGCAGACCAGGCUGUGAGGGCCCGCGGGCAGCAGAGGGGAUGCGCCAGCUCCUUUCCUUCCUUCGGAGGAACGACGGCUACUUGCUGGUGCCCAGGCGGCGCGGGAGGUCACGGCCCUGCCGCUGACCCCGUGGGUGCCAGGUCCUGCCUUUCCCUCACUGUGCAGGGGACUGGUGCUUUCUUUUUUCAAAAGUUUUUUAUUUAUUUUGAGAGAGAGAGAGAGAGAGAGAGAAAGACAGAGAGAAUCCCAAGCAGGCUCUGCACCAUCAGCACAAAGCCUGACGUGGGGCUUGAACUCACGAACCGUGAGAUCAUGACCUGAGGGGAAGUAGGAUGCUUACCCGACCGAGCCCCCAGGCGCCCCGGGGGACAUGUGCUUUCUGUCCCUUCCACAGGAGACAGACGUCCUCACAAAGCCCACCCAGCACUUGCCAUCGGCUUUUCUCAGAAAGCACCUGCCCUUGCAGGCAAGGACGCGGGGUCUCUGGGUCACGCGGACUCUCACAGGCCGACGUGUUCGUCCAGCAGACCACCUGCGAUUUCUCUGUCACUUUGUGUUUCGCUCUCUGAUUUUAAACAGCCUUAUCCCCCCAGGUGUCUCUGAAAGCCACGUCCUUCCUGCUCCGACCCCUGCCCGCUGCCCCGAGGGUGAGGGCCCGUCGGGCAGGGCCGGUCACGCGUUUGCAGCAAAGCCUCAGUGUUGGAGCACAGCCCACGCAGGCCAGACCGGGACGCACGCAGAGAGAGCGGCAGGUUCCGUCUGUCUCAGGAAUGCCCGGAAGUCACCCCGUUGGGUUCUCUGUGCCGAGGUUUGCUGGCUGGACGUACCGGGCUUCACAGUUCUGGGCUCUGAAGUGGGACAGAUUUGUCUUCAUUGUUUUUUUUUAACGUAUGAAAGGCACAAGACACAACCCAGCCGUACUGUGGUGGAAUAGUCUUUUCCUUACGAAAUCGGUUUCUAGAACGCAAGCCGUAGUUCGUCCGGCAGUCGGGGGAGAGAGUGAAUAAAGGUACAUUAGCGGCAGCCCGUGACGUGUCAGCCCGAUUACCGCGGGCUGUGCUCCCUGACACGACAGCUGUGGUCCCGGCAGAUAGUGUGUGACUCCAUUGUUGGUUGACCGGGUUAUACUCUAAGUUCGUCCCACGGAGGGGCUCUCUGUUCAGGAGCACGCGGUCCGUGUCCCAGCAGCCACCGGGGUGCAGCACAGUGAACAGGCGGGGACGCAGCAGCCUGCCCUCACUCCAGGCGGGCACGGCGCCUCCAGGCCCCGCAGGGCGGGCUGCGGCCGCACGUGUGACCUGUCUCGAAAGGCUGGGUAAAAUGAACCCUUUCCGAAUUGGGCCCCUG